AUUGCAGAUAUCCAAAUAAGAGAAAUAAGGAACAUAGAGUCAUAUCUAAAAUGUUAGGGUGGUGAUCAAAUGCUAAAGACAAGGAAGGUUUCAGAGGCAGGAUGAUUACUCUAGGAAAAAAGUAAGUGUCUAACAGCACUCUAAGUUAUUGAUUCUUCUAAUUCUUCAAAAUUUCAAAAUCUCUGACAGUAAAUAAAUAGACAAUAAUAAGAAAAUAGGAUUUGCUUUCAAGAGACUUAAAUUGGAACCAAGAAAGUAGAACCUUUGCCACAGUAUGUUGCAUUUUCAUUUUUAAAACAUUUCACGAAUCAUACCCCAUCAUCUCCAUGUACAAAUGUGCCACAGAAAAGAAUAUUUGCAAGUUUAUUUUCUAAGUCCUAGCUGCUAAGUACAUGUAGAUAAAUUUAAAUAAUUAUUCUCUUGUUCCAGACCAAUUUUAACACUGUUUUAACAAGAGAGAAAAUGAGAAAAGAAAACAUAAUAAACGAUCUUAGUGAUAAGUUGAAAAGUACAAUGCAGCAACAAGAACGGGAUAAAGAUUUGAUAGAGUCACUUUCUGAAGAUCGAGCUCGUUUGCUUGAGGAAAAGAAAAAGCUUGAAGAAGAAGUCAGUAAGUUGCGUAGUAGCAGUUUUGUUCCUUCACCGUAUGUAGCUACAGCCCCAGAACUUUAUGGAGCUUGUGCACCUGAACUCCCAGGUGAAUCAGAUAGAUCCGCUGUGGAAACAGCAGAUGAAGGAAGAGUGGAUUCAGCAAUGGAGACAAGCAUGAUGUCUGUACAAGAAAAUAUUCAUAUGUUGUCUGAAGAAAAACAGCGGAUAAUGCUGUUAGAACGAACAUUGCAAUUGAAAGAAGAAGAAAAUAAACGGUUAAAUCAAAGACUGAUGUCUCAGAGCAUGUCUUCAGUAUCUUCAAGGCAUUCUGAAAAGAUAGCUAUUAGAGAUUUUCAGGUGGGAGAUUUGGUACUCAUCAUCCUAGACGAACGCCAUGACAAUUAUGUGUUAUUUACUGUUAGUCCUACUUUAUAUUUUCUGCAUUCAGAGUCUCUACCUGCCCUGGAUCUCAAACCAGGUGAGGGUGCUUCAGGUGCAUCUAGAAGACCCUGGGUACUUGGAAAAGUAAUGGAAAAAGAAUACUGUCAAGCCAAAAAGGCACAAAACAGAUUUAAAGUUCCUUUGGGGACAAAGUUUUACAGAGUGAAAGCCGUAUCAUGGAAUAAGAAAGUAUAACUUAUGGACAAAAUUAAUACAUUCUAUGACAUUUUUUUCUGAUUUGUCCUGCAUUGCUCAUUCAUCAC
rnacentral:sRNA from 1 species